AUUCAUUGGUACGGUGAGUAGUCUGUAGAAAACGUUUAAUUACAGAAUAUUGUCUAGUUAGUAAUCACAGCGUGAUUGUAAUGAUCCUGUGUUUUGGUUUCUUUUAGAUGGGCAGAAGUGGAAACACCCAGAAGGAAAAAAAUUAAACGCAUUCUAGACUCAGAUGAUGAAAGUCCCACCAGCACUGACCGUGUAGUAGCUCCAGCAAUGUCAAAUACAAAGGAGUCUAUGCUUCCCAAACAGCCCAGUUCCUCUCCUGUGCCUGAAAAAACAAGGCCGUGUGAAAAACUCAAUCCAUCAACCACAGAAGCUGACGAUGAUGACACAGACAUUGAUUCAGAUGAUUCUCAGAGUUUGUUACAACCAGAAAUGUACCAUAUCACAGUUCCAUGUAGCAUUCUUAUGGACUCUGGACCCUCAGCAGAAUCAGAGUACAGUCUAGAACCUUCUUCACCUGCCGGUGCAGCCCCAGCAGCUAUGUGCACCUCACCUGGGUCUGUCGCGGCCCCUGAACUAGAGGAAACACCAUCCACAAGCAGAACUUCUCCACCGCCCAGAGCUCAAACCACUGACCCUACGCCUAACCAGGACCGUGCCAGCGAUGGUCCCACAGGGGUUUCUUCAUCACCAGGUCGUCCCGCUGCAGCAGAUGCUUCUGAUGUGGGUACCACAGAGAAAUCCCAGUCCAGUGCUGCCAUAUUCUGGACCAGAUGUAAUGAGGCUGGGUGGACUAAAGAAGUCUUCUCAGAGCUCGUGUCUCAGCUGAGCAGCCUAGGAGAAAGAGUGCUGUCACAGGAAGCCUGCCACCAAGACUAUGAUGUUGCUCUCAAAGUAUUGUUGGCAUCUGGACAGCUGCCUUGCAUUUUUACUCAGCUGGAACAAGACCUGGAGAAACAGGAAAGGGAUUUGCAGAGGAAAAAAGCAGCAUUGAGGGAUGCCAAAGCUGUACUAGAUGUUUAAUAUAACAAUCUAACAGAAUUAAGAUGUUUUAUCGUUUUUAAAAAUGUUUUUUUAAAGUCCAGAACAUUUCUGCAGUUUGCAUACAUCAGAUGGUUUUGAUCAGACAUUUUUUACAUCAGUAAUAGAAAUCUCAUGAAAUAUAUCUACA
rnacentral:lncRNA from 1 species